ensembl:lncRNA
CCCAGCUCAAAUGACACCCCCUCCACGAAGCCUUCUUGGCAUCACGACGGCCCCCACCAGCAUAGUCCGGCAUGCCUGCUCUCUCCUAGGCCGUGUGUUGUCCACUCAGCAGAUGCAGAGGGUGUGCCUCCCACGCACCAGCGCGGUGCUGGGCCUGGGCCACAGAGGCGGGCACACGGACAAGGACUCUGCCCUGAGGACUUGUGUCCUGUCUCCCUCCCACCCCAGCCAGGAGGCGGUCAGCUCCUGGCGCCAGAGGCAAGGACUGUCUCCCCCACCGUCUGGCCCAUAGUCGGUGCUCUGCGAUGGCCUAAAUGGAUGAAAGGGUCAAGGUGUGAACACAGCAGGUGCCAGAAGCCCCUUUCCUGGGGGCCCAAGGAGGCCCCGCCACUGGAGUCUCUGCCCAUGAGGGCCAUUCAGACAUAAGUCACCCCAUCGCUGGGAUAUUUGGACUCCGUUGACACAAAUGCAGUGUCUGCCCAUCUUUCCAGGGCCUCAUGUUCAAGCCUGGAUUGCUCCUGCAUGCCUGCUGGGGUGUCACAGCACAGAAGACAGGAGAAGAUGAUGUUUUGGGAAACAGCGUGCUGCCUUUGCCUUUGGAGAACGAACCCAGAUACACAGCGGAGUUGAGUUCAGUACUUACACUCACCUAGUGAGCCAGGCUUUGGGUCCAGUGCUUGGAGAGGGUGCUGAGGGGCGAGACGCAGAUUCCAGGAACCUGGCCAAGUGGGAAGUGGCACAAGGGCUCACAACCGAGCCGUUCCCCUGUGCUAUCUUAUUGAACGUCUCCAUGAAUCACCCAUGGGGCAGGCAGACUCAGCCGUGCUCUGGAGGGGUAGGAGACGGAGGCUGCCGGGGCACUGUCACCUGGCACCUGGAGUCACCUACAGGACCCAAAUUCUGUGGGAUUCAAGGUCAGCCUGGGUGCGUGGCAAUAAGGCUGUAAGGAGAAACAUGAGGUGGCCGGAGACGGAGCAUCAGAGACAAGAACUGGAUGGGUCGAGAAGCCUGCCGGCUCGGAGGAACAUGCCCAGAUUGGUGCCCUGGCCCCAGGGGGAGGAUGAGCGACAGACAGAGCAGGACCAGAACGCCCCAGUCGAGCCCAGCCAAGAUCAGCCGACUCUUAGCUGAUCCAGAAUAAAUGGUGGUUGU